rnacentral:misc_RNA from 1 species
UAACAAGUGUUCUACUGCACUUUUUAAACAAGUACUCACCUUGUGUGAAAUGUUUGUGCUACACGCGUCGCGUCAUGCGCAUAAUACCAACUUUUUUAUUGCAAUUUUUUUGUCUGAAGCUAUUUUUGAAUGAAAUAAUUCUAAAUA